GUUAAAGCCACCAGCACGAGCACCUGACGAUGCUGAUCCAGUGAGUACUCCAUCAAAGGCAUACUGUAGGCCUGGCACGUCUUGUCUACUAGCUUCAAUAUGAAUCCGAUUAAAUGUGAUGGGGUCAAGGCCCCAUUUCAUCAGCACAUAACGGCGAUGAUGAUGAGGAGACCAUCUCUCUGGAUUCCAAAAGGCAUAAGGUAUCAUGUCAAACUUGUGAAAGUACUAUACAAAGGAGUCAUCAUUGGGAGCCAUCACAAAAUCUCAUUUCUUUUACAGGACCCAGAGUCAUUGGUGCACUGGACUGCACAAACAUAAGGAUAAAAGCCCCCUCAGUCCAUGACUCCAGAAUCUUUUGGACCUCUGAAAUCUAUCAGCGCCUAUCACAAGGUGAAUUCUCUGGUGUGUUGCUGGUAGACAGGGGGUAUGGCUGCCAGCCGUUUUUCCUGACACCUUUCACAGACCCCCAGGAAGCACAGCAGGCCUACAACUAUGCCCAUGCUAGGGCCAGAGUUGAAAUGACCUUUGGCCUCCUGAAGGCACGCUCUCACUGCCUUCACAAAUUAAGAGUCAGCCCUGUGAGGGCAUGUGACAUUACUGUGGCUUGUGGUGUCCUCCACAAUGUGGCCUGCCUGAGGAAGGAGAGGGCACCCAGAGUGCCGCCAGCCAUGGACUGGGACAAUCCGGAAAUCUUCCCUGAUGACAACAGUGGUCGGCUGCUGAGGGAUCAAUAAGUGUUGAAUUA